UUCACCUCUAAAUCCAUUCUCACCAGGAAACCCUGGGUCUCCCAUUUGUCCUUUCUCUAAACGGAUGUUAAUGUAGCCACUGUCUCCUGGAGACCCUCUUUCACCUUUGAGCCAAAAAUAUGGAAUGCAAUCCUAGUUCCCCGUCUCUGCCAUCAAGACCUCUCUGGCCUGGAAAUCCUGGAACCCCAACUUCAACCCACAAUCCACUGAGGAAGGGAAUCUCUGGAGUGUGGUGACUGCAGGAUGGGGCUUUCCUCCCGGAACUGAACACAGCAGCAAGUAAGUGAU